rnacentral:lncRNA from 1 species
UUGAUUUGAGCAGGACCUGCAGCCUUGUCAGUGUCUGAGCUCAUGGAAUCCCCACUGUCCUCUCCUCAGGCUGAUGGCAAAACUUCUCCCACCCAGAUGACCUCCCUCCACCAACACCUGAGAGGCCCUCAGGCGAUCUGAUGCGAGGCCAGGCCGCUGGGGGCCUCCGGCAGGGACAGUCCGCAGAAGGAGGAAGGCAGAUGGCAGAAGCGGCAGUGCUGUCCGGUAGGGAAGGCCCCGACGUCCGCCCUUCCCCAGACCGUGGGCUCCCCUCGCUUCCAGGGGUGGAGGAGAGAAGAGCUGGAGAAACGUGCCACGACUCAAACAAAUUUACUUCCGUGGUGGAUUCUGAUUUUUUUGAACAAAAUGAGGUUUCUUUCUGUGGUCCAACCUACCACCCUCAUAUUUCCAGCAGAAGGAACAUGAAAUGAAAAAGGAAAAAAGCCCUUACAAUAUCAUACGAGUUUCUCUACCAGCACAUCAUGCUGGUGUCCUAAAGAAGCCAGACAGCAGAGUUAACGGGUACAAGUUUAAACGUUGUCAUCAUAUUUUAUUCUGUGUUCAAAACCACUUUCGUGAUUUCCCU